rfam:Ictidomys tridecemlineatus contig023182, whole genome shotgun sequence.
GGGGUUGUGGCUCAGUGGCAGAGCACUUGCCUAGCAUGUGUGAGGCACUGGGUUCGAUUCUCAGCAUCUCAU